UUACUCUGAUUUCUCUUCAGAUCGUAUAAAUCUUUCGCCUUUUACUAAAGAUUUCCGUGGAGAGGAUCAAUAGGAGUUUUAUUCAAUUUUUUGAUGCCCUGCUUUAAUGUGGGGCU
rnacentral:snRNA from 1 species